rnacentral:misc_RNA from 1 species
AAGUCGUAACAAGGUUUCCGUAGGUGAACCUGCGGAAGGAUCAUUAAAAGAGAACAUGUCGCCCGGCGGGGAUAAAACUCCCCGGGCACAAUCUCCAUCCCAUGCCUAUUGUACUUGCAUGUUGCUUUGGCAGGUCGCGGGUGCCUACCUUCGGGUGGUCCCCCCGCCGGCUUCGGCUGGCGAGCACCUGCCAACAGCUAAAUUAUAAAACCUUGAAGUCAAUUAUUGAAGUCUGAAUAUACUAUGAAAAUAGCCUAAAACUUUCAACAACGGAUCUCUUGGUUCUG